GCUCCUUCAGUUCCAUCAUUGUCCCACUCCUGUGAGAUCGAUAGAAGAGCACAAAGGUUGUAAAUAAGGGUGAGCAUUGGAGGCACUCAGCACAGCAGCCUGGAUGACUGCGCUGCUGUUGCAUGAAUGCAGAAAGAGCAGCUGAACCAUUGCAGGCGACUGCGGCUGACUUAAUUCCUAGCUCCUGCUCCAGGGCAUGACAUUGGUAUGAUGUAAUGAGACUCGGGUGAAACCGUAGCGAGAAGCACCAACAUCAGCACUGCCUUCUUGGGAAAUAGGAUUCAUUCCGAAAACUGGAGCGAGAAUCGAGUUCUGCGUCUCAGGGAAAAUGGUAGGAGAUGGAACUUAAAGGUACAUCAGUGCAUUUUGGAAAGUAUUGAAAACGAUAGCUUGGAUUGUAUGAAGAUAAAUCUUUAUUCUCUUCUGACCUAGUUUCCUAAGCACACGCAGUUUCUGCAAAUCUCUGCAAGAACCGCGGGUAACCUUCACCACUAACAGGACACCAGUGCUUAAGGAGCUCUGAUGUUUCACAAGUUAUCGUGAGAGAGGCAAUGAACGUGUGAGGAGGAAGCCAAGUUUGCUUAAAAGUCACUCUAUCUUUCAAAAGCAUUUCGAGGCUCAGUCCUCAGCCACACUUUCUUCUGCUCUAACAACUUCCAGAAAUUCUGCUCAAACCCCGGUUUCACACUGUGCUUGUCUCUUCCCAUCUGUAGCCCAAAGAAUUUAUAAUCCAUUUAGGGAGAUUAAAAAAAUAAGGGGAAAAAAUAAAAUCUCAGCCUGUA